rnacentral:rRNA from 1 species
UACGUAGGCAGCAAGCGUUGUUCGGAUUUACUGGGCGUAAAGGGGGUGUAGGCGGUUCUUUAAGUUUGGUGUGAAAUCUCCCGGCUCAACUGGGAGGGUGCGCCGAAUACUGAGGGACUAGAGUACGGGAGAGGAAAGUGGAAUUCCUGGUGUAGCGGUGAAAUGCGUAGAUAUCUGGAGGAACACCGGUGGCGAAGGCGACGUCCUGGACCGGCAUUGACGCUGAGGCGCGAAAGCCAGGGGAGCAAACGGG